GAGCGGUGGAGCCAUGUGCCCAAGGUCACCACCGCCUUGGGAAUGUGUCCAGUCUGUCCCGGUGCAGAACCGCACUCUUCUUAGUCACAGCCCCCACGCGACCUCGUCCUCCUCGCUCGGCGACACCUGCAGGCUGCUAACCUCGCUUUGCCUCGCUCCCUCCUCCCUCUGCGCGCCCCGGGAAUCCCUGCUUCUUGGCGAGCUCCUGACUCCACGGCCCGGCCCUAGCUGCGGGAUCCGGAGCAGAUCCGAAGACAGCCGGCGGGAGCCCACAACCCCGUCGUGGGUUUUUCCCUUCCCGCUGCCUGGACCGUCCCCGGAUUUCCAUCCUUUUCAGGAAGGGCCAUGGGGUUAGAAAUUCUAGCAGUGCUUUCUCCCAAACGAAACUUGUGUACUUGAGGUCACUUGGGGUGGCAGAAGGUCUCCUUGACCCAAAAUAGAAUGGCUGGACCUGCUUGUAGACUGCAGCCAAAAAGGCUUUGAGACUCACUCGGUCACAGAUUUUUAGGCCACAGGUGCUUCCUAAGAUCUAUCCCAGUUACUCCUUUGGGAAGAGGAGACAGAGAGCUGUCCAAAGCCCAACAAUGCACAAGCUGUCAGAAACUUUACCUAGUGUAUGCCCUUGGAGAGUUUGUGCAUGCCACUAAAGGUCUUUCAGAUCCUGAA
rnacentral:lncRNA from 1 species